CGAUAAUCAAUAAUAUACGCAUAUAUAUAUCAUAAUAAACAGUAACCUACAUUCUAACAAUUUUAUUUUAUGAACAGAACGAUUUUAUCAGUAUAUGUUUCUCACAGAAGGAAAAUGGGAGGAGUGCAAUCUCUUUUCUCCGCUGAGAAAAAAGGCACACUAACUACCGCCGAUAUUAACAACGAAGUUCAGCCCUUUAUACAAGAUUUGACACACCGCGACAGAAAACUGUUUAAUUAUGCAAAGAAGGAAAUAAGCAAUGAAGCCAGCAAGUUAAAUAUCAUAAAUGCUACGGUCUGCAUUGAGUUUCAAGACAGAGAACAUUGUUGUUUUGGUAGGGGAGAAGGCGAUGAACAGUACAUCCGAAUAGCAAUGAAUGAUGAUGGUGAAUGCACUAUAGUUUGGGAAAAACAAUGGUUUUGCAGAAAAGUAUGCCAAAGUGUUAUCAACGCGGAUUUUACCGUUUUGAAAGCAUUCGCUAAAGCUGUUAUUCCUUUUCUAUUGUCAGCAGUUGGUAUAAAACAAUUGGGGUGGCAUUGAUAAUAAAUUGACUAUUAUCUUUUUUUAAGUGAAUAUAUCAUUUUCUAAUGAUGUUUAACAUCUUAAAACUACAAAGCUUGUGUUAAACUGAUAUUCGUUUUCUUCAUAAUGAUUAUUCAUCAUUUAUAAAUAAUUCAAAAAAUAUUUUAAAUUAAAUACAAUUUAGAAUAUA